rnacentral:rRNA from 1 species
GACAGGGGGGGCAAGCGUUGCUCGGAAUCCCUGGGCGUAAAGGGCGCGUAGGCGGGAUGGCAAGUCGGUCGUGAAAUCCUUCGGCUCAACCGAAGAACGUCGGCCGAUACUGCCGUUCUUGAGGGAUGCAGAGGAGAUUGGAAUUCCCGGUGUAGCGGUGAAAUGUGUAGAGAUCGGGAGGAACACCGGUGGCGAAGGCGGGUCUCUGGGCAUCUCCUGACGCUGAGGCGCGAAAGCGUGGGGAGCAAACGGG